UUUUCUUUUUUCUUUUUUAUUGAAAUUACGCAUUGUUCAAGAAUUAUAAAAAUGAGCCAAAGAAGAAGCAGAGGUACAAUUCCAAACCCUCUAUGGGUGGGAAAUUCUUCGCUGGAGGAGAGGCUGAUGAAGAUUUAGAGGAUGAUGAUACAAAUGGGUUGAUGGGGUCAUUUCUUGUGGUUGUGGGUGCCCUGUUAGGGUUGUGACAGGGCUUGCGCAACCAUCCUAUAUGGAGCUUCUAUUAGAUAGCACUGGCGAGGCCUUCUCCAUUGUUGUGAAGAAUUCUCUUAUCACUUUUGCUCUUGUGACUUGAAGCCCCCUCCUGUUGUUUCUUCACAAGAUUUUUUCUAUGAGUUGCGCCAAACAAAGUGUUUGCAAGCUUACAAUAUGACUAUCUCCUCAUAUUCCUUGGUGACAUUUGAGCUUUCUAGCCUUUUGCAAACCCCCAGCUAGUUGUCUUCAAUAACCAACAAAGGUACACAAGAAAAGGUUGCUGAAGCAUAUGUCAUUGCUGCCAUCAAAUUUAGAGGUCUUAAUGCGGCAACAAAUUUUGAUAUGAGCAGAUAUGAUGUGAAAAGUGUCAUAUGCUAAAAUUCAUAAUGUAAUCAACGAGGAAUAAAAGGGAAAUCACGAAUCCCUAUCCUAAUAGAAUUCAAACAAAAACGCAAUGAAAUAAUCCAAAAGUAAGAAACAUGAAUGUAAAGUUUAUCAAUCAACAUAUAGCUUCCAUUGCUCUUCUCUUCUUUGUGGUAUAAGAAACAGGAAUGUAAAGUUUAUCAAUCAACAUAUAGCUUCCAUUGCUCCAUUGCUCUUCUCUUCUUUGUGGUAUAAGAAACAGGAAUGUAAAGUUUAUCAAUCAACAUAUAGCUUCCAUUGCUCUUCUCUUC